GACGAACGCUGGCGGUGUGCCUAAUACAUGCAAGUAGAACGCACAGUUUAUACCGUAGCUUGCUACACCAUAGACUGUGAGUUGCGAACGGGUGAGUAACGCGUAGGUAACCUGCCUGGUAGCGGGGGAUAACUAUUGGAAACGAUAGCUAAUACCGCAUAAUAUUGAUUAUUGCAUGAUAAUUAAUUGAAAGGUGCAAUUGCACCACUACCAGAUGGACCUGCGUUGUAUUAGCUAGUAGGUGAGGUAACGGCUCACCUAGGCGACGAUACAUAGCCGACCUGAGAGGGUGAUCGGCCACACUGGGACUGAGAAACGGCCCAGACUCCUACGGGAGGCAGCAGUAGGGAAUCUUCGGCAAUGGACGAAAGUCUGACCGAGCAACGCCGCGUGAGUGAAGAAGGUUUUCGGAUCGUAAAGCUCUGUUGUAAGAGAAGAAAGGGUGAGAGAGUGGAAAGUUCACACUGUGACGGUAUCUUACCAGAAAGGGACGGCUAACUACGUG
rnacentral:rRNA from 1 species